rnacentral:rRNA from 1 species
AUACGUAGGUGGCAAGCGUUAUCCGGAUUUAUUGGGCGUAAAGGGUGCGCAGGCGGCCUGCCAAGUUCGAGGUGAAAGCGUUGGGCUCAACCCAAUACAGCUUCGAAUACUGGCAGGCUCGAGUGCAGGAGAGGAUGUCGGAAUUCCAUGUGUAGCGGUAAAAUGCGUAGAUAUAUGGAGGAACACCAGCGGCGAAGGCGGACAUCUGGCCUGCAACUGACGCUGAGGCACGAAAGCGUGGGGAGC